AGGCAUCUCGGAGCAGCCGGUGAGUCACAGUGAGUAUGCAGCGCUGGGCGCGAAGGACGCCCGGGUGCCCUCCCAGCCGCGCGCCACUCCCGCGCCGCCCCUGGAACGCGGAGAGCGUGGCUGCGUGCUGCAGGGCCGCAGGGUCUACGCCCCGGGCACCCCGACCCACCCUGGGAAACCCGGCGCACACCAGCCAAGCCUCCUGCAGACCCGACUUCUCCACUGCAACUUUUAGUCAGGCCUGCAAGGGGUUCCAGCACUACCUUCCUCCCUACUCAUGGCCUGGGCUCCCCAGGGGCCUGGAUUUUGAAGGGGCCACUCUCUGGUGUGUUCAAGACACCCCUGAAGAUUCCAAGCUCUGCUGGGCUUCACAUUCGCUCUCCUAAGGACCAUUUUUCUGCCAGUGCCUCAGUUUCCCCAACUGAGUACCAGUAGCAUAAGAUUCUCCCCACCACCCUCCGCACCCUGCCCCCGGGUGGCAAGAGUAUUCAUUACAGUUUGUUCCUGGCUUUGAAGAUGAGAAGUACCAAGGAUCAUUACCACUCAAUUAACGGAGCUGUUACCACUGGAGUUUAGGUCUGAUUAAUCUGCCCCCUGCCCCCUGCCUUGGAGCCAUGUUGCCCCCUGACACCCCUUCCUUGGACUCCCGCAGGCUCCUCCUUUCUCCUGGAUUUCAUACCUGGAGUUAGCCCCUUUCCUGUUCCUGCCAGUACUCUCGGGUCCUGAAAGAGUGUCUGCCACAUUCAGUCUUCAACAAGUAUUGUUGAGCUCCCCCAGAGCCAGGGGCUAGAUGCUGAGGCAGGGCAGUGAAGGUCACAGACCCAAGCCUUCCUGGAGCUCACCUUCUGGGCCUUCCCCUCGCCCUGAACAUCUCUCUCUUCCAAGCCUGCGGUGGUCCUUACCAACUGGAACUUCCUGCUUGUACCUCCUCUGGACGUGCAUCAUGUCUUAUAUGUGAUAUUUCCACUGAGCCUCAUUCCACACUUCUCAUUAAACUGUCUGCUGCCUGACAGCAGAAUCCAAGUCUCAAGUUUGUUUCCUUCCACCAAGAAUGCACGGGAGUUCUCCGUAGAUGUUGCCCUCAUUGAAAUGAGAGAGCUAAGGCCUAGACCGGGAACGCUGCGCCCGCCGCAAAAUGGAAUUCUGGUGGUCAAGAGGCCCCCCAUCCUGUGCUGUGAGGGUUAGGAGAGUCGGGGGUCAUGGGGAUAGAAGUAAAAGGACCAGGUGGGAAGGACAAAGUGGAUUAGACUCCUACUCCAAUCAAUCAUCCAUCAGAAUCACCAACUAGGACACUUGAAUUGGGUCCACAAGUUCUUACUGAGUACUGCUUGGGGCCGGGCACAGUGCUAGGCACUGCGGAGACAAAGAUGAGUGAGAUUCAGUCCCUGCCGCUAGGGAUCUUGGAUACCAUCUCUUGUCUUCAGUAACUUUCUGGGUGACCCUAGGCCAAGUAAUUAUGAGCAACCCAAAUAAUUCUCAGCGUCUGAGAGAGAUCACGCCCCUCUUCCUUCGCCUAUGCACCAUGAGCCCUGGCAGGGAAGCCCAUGCCAUCAGUCAGAGCUUCCUAGCCAACGUGCAGCCCUCUAGUGGAUUCCAGUUGGGCCAAUAUUGGCCUCAGGGGCCAGAGGCAGCCUUGGUUCUUUACUGCAGUGGCUGUAAAAAGUUUCAUUUUCUAUGAGAACUACAGCAUGACAAAGGUCAGGAAGCGCUGCCUAAGUCAUCUGGUGAAAGAGGAUGCAAAUGCCACCAAGGAGCUCCAAUUCUGGGCCCCAAAGAGUCAUUAACUGCUGUUCCCUGGAUCCCAGAGUUUUGACUGCACAGAACAGCAAAGAAGAAACCAGAAGUCGGGCUCCAUCCAGUUCCUCACCUGGGUGGAUGAGGCCAGCACCUGAUUGUUUUAGGCUGAGUAGGCUCCUGAAGCUGAGAGCUGAUAAGAGACAUUGAUCUAGGGUUUGCAACUCUCUCUGGUUUCCCGAAGCUGUUUCUCACAGGGCAGGGAGAAGAGGAAUCUGCCAGCCUUUGGAUCAGCGUCUGUCCCAUGGGCAAAGCCUUUAUCCAGCAAGAAGCCAGCUGUGUGGCAAGCAAUGGAGCCACAAUGGGGACAAAGGAUGGAGUUAAGAGCAUUCGUUUUAAAGUCACACAGGACGAAUUCAACUGUCAGACCAGCCAGGUAGCCUCCAGUAAGCUACUUGGACUCUUAAGACUUGAAAGGGCAGCCCUAAAGCCUUCCUCUCACAGGAUUGUUGUAAAGAAUGAAGAAAAUUAUGGCCUGAAACAGUGGCUCAUGCCUAUAAUCCCAGCACUUUGGGAAGCUGAGUCAGGAGUAUCACUUGAGGCGAGGAGUUGGAGACCAGCCUGGGCAACAUAUCAAGACCCCAUCUCU
rnacentral:lncRNA from 1 species